rnacentral:misc_RNA from 1 species
AAACUGGCACAGUGGAGGAAUAUGAACCAUAGUUACCAAAUUCACCUUCUCCCUUUAGGUUCCAUGACCCUUAUUGUGCGUUCCAAAUAUGGGGCAUUUGCAUCUCAAAACAUUGUAGGAUGUGAUCCGAGUUGUCAAAUUUGGCGAUACCAUUCACUUGGUACAAAAUCAAUGCAAGAGUAAAGUUACGACACAAAAUCGAAAGGGAAAGUGAACGGA